CUCGUCAUUUUCCUCAAAUUGUUUUGAUAGCUUCGUCUUUUUAAAAAAAAAAAAAAGUAACAUAAAAGCUAACACUUUACCCAAGAUGUUCUGAUGUAAUGAUGACGGUUUAUCUCGUUGGGAAGCUUGAUCUUGCACUACAUCUAGCUUAUAACCCAACGCUUUCAGAUAGUUUGUUUAUAAAGGCAUCUUGGUUACAAUAGAAGGAAAGAAGACAAAACGCAGGGCCUCUUCUUUUCAGUAUCCACUGCGUUUGGACAAACGACCCGAGAGCUUCAAAUGUGUGAUAAUAUUUACCUUUGAAUUUCUCCACAGUACAUGAUCAGGAACAGAUGCCCCUAUUCGCUCUUCCUGUAAAACACACAGUCACUGUAUCUGCCCAGUUUCCUCUAAGUAGUUUAGUGUAACAGCAUCCCACCUUUUUCAUCGUGACUCAGAGAACACCAUCACCCUACAGCCAGGCGCCCACGUGCACCGCAGUCACGAUCAUGCAGAUACACUCCAGCCCACUUACCGUAUUAGAUGAGACUGGUAGGGCCCCUGUCUUCCCUCCUUAAUAACUUCUUCCAGUUUAACCCAGCGGCUGUGUGAGACCGAGACGGGACUGAAGACAUUUGGGAUCGCAGGGAGCCUGGAACUUAUCCCAGGGAGCUCGGGCUACAAGGCAGGGGACACCCUGGACGGAGUCCCAACCCAUCGCAAGGCAAAACUGCACACACGUUCAAACUACGAACAAUUUGGAAAUCUGAAUCAGCCUACAGAGCAUGUUUUUGGACAGGGGAAAAAACUGGAGUACCCGGAAGAAACCCCCGAAGCAAGAACAUGCAAGCUCAGCACACGCAGUCAUCAGCUGCUGUUGUAGUUGUUGUUUUAUUUUUCAUGAACCACAUUGUGAUUGCUUCAUUUCAGAUCCAUGGUGCUGGUGUACAGAGGCAAAAUGAUGAAAACUGCAUCACUGUUCAAAUGCAUAUGGACCUGACUGUACUUCAGUGUGAUUAAUGUUUAUUACAUAAUAAAGGUGAUUA
ensembl:lncRNA